AAAAUCAAAGCGUUUCGGAAAUAUUUACGCGUUUAAUAUCCGCCACUUUUAUUAUAAAAGUCGGUGAUUUCUGGUACAAAGUCAUCAGUUCUUUCAGAAGGCAACAAAAUGAAUAAGACAUCGUUUCUACUCUUGCUUGUCAUCGGUCUCCUCGUCCUUACCGACAGUGCGGUAGGUGCUGCUUUUAGAAUAUUGAGGGUAUUUACAUCUCCGUGGAGCCAAAUGCAAAUGCAAAGAGUUGACGAUUCUGUUGACGAUUCUUUGAUGCAACUUAUCAUGGAGAACCAUGAUCACGCUCUUGCUGAGCAAUAAAUGAAAAACAAAACUGUUAAAUGUUGGUCGUCUGUAUAAAUAAAACACCUACAUCAUUUAAA